AAAAAAAUUUGCUGUGUAAGGAGAUAAGAGAAGUUUCCCACUUCAGAAGUGAACACAGAAGAGGUUGAACAGGUUGAAGGUCCAGGAGAUGCUGCCAGAAGGGGACUGGGGCUGGAGAUUAAUUUGAUGAAACCUGGGUGACCUCCAUGCCUUUCCCUACCGUGUUUAGAAAACAACAGAUAAGGUAACGCAGUAAGGUCAAGUGCAACUGUGGUCUGAGACUCCAGUAUGGGAAAUUGAAAGUAGUCAAAAACCAGCCUGGACUAGGACCACAGACAGGUACUGUGGCAGUUCUCUGGGCUACAGGACUCUGGUAAGGAACCAGGGC
rnacentral:lncRNA from 1 species